rnacentral:lncRNA from 1 species
CACGACUGCCACCAACAUCAACUACAACACCACCACCACAGAUCACGGAACACCAUCACUGCACAUUGUGAUCACACCCAACCAGCCCGAUUCACUUCCACAUAUUCACGUUGGCAAACACGAACACUGCCUACUAAAUUCCACCAUUCUUCCAGCCACCACUCGCAACCGCCCACUGAAACACCAUGUACCACCUCCACCUGCAACUCUAACCAACCACCGCAUAACCACAACCACUGCCUGCUAAAAUGCACCAUUUCUUCCAACACUACAAUACCCUCAAAAAACCAUCCAACCACAGAUCAGAAAACCACCUACCCAUAGGGAUGCCGAGCGGCGCUGGAGAGUAGUCACCGGAGAAGAGAUAUGAAAUUAAAUAAAGAGAGAUCGUGCAAGUCGUGCGUAAAAAAAGUGCACCACCGCAAGUCAGUAAACAGUGCGAAAAAUCCCUAAAACCACCGCACCACCACCACACCAACUAGAGAAACAGAUGCAAAAAGGGGGGCAAGAGAGGGAGACGACGAUGACGACGAUGAGCGCGCGCAUCGCUGCUUAUGACUGUAAGGUGCUGGGGCACGGUGGUUAGUGCUUCGCUUGUCGUCGGCAGACACGAGCGUUUUGAAGAGUCAUCGGAGGUGAGGGAGGAAUGGAGAUGAAAAAUGAAGUAGCAAUUGAAAGAUGUAUUAGGAUUUGUUGGGUGGAGUAGGAUGUGGGGAUUUGGGGUAGAUUAAUUUAAUUUUAUAAUAUUGAAAAUUUAAAGUAUUACCUGAUUUUUGAACAUAAAAUUUUCCAAUCUGAUUUUUGAACUAUGAUCCCGGAAAAUUCUAUUCAUUCAAACCAAAAUUUUGAGAUAACCUGAAGUAGAAAAGGAUAGCAG